rnacentral:rRNA from 1 species
AUUGAACGCUGGCGGAAUGCUUUACACAUGCAAGUCGAACGGCAGCACGGACUUCGGUCUGGUGGCGAGUGGCGAACGGGUGAGUAAUACAUCGGAACGUGCCCAAUCGUGGGGGAUAACGUAGCGAAAGCUACGCUAAUACCGCAUACGAUCUAAGGAUGAAAGCGGGGGAUCGCAAGACCUCGCGCGAUUGGAGCGGCCGAUGGCAGAUCAGGUAGUUGGUAGGGUAAAGGCCUACCAAGCCGACGAUCUGUAGCUGGUCUGAGAGGAUGAUCAGCCACACUGGGACUGAGACACGGCCCAGACUCCUACGGGAGGCAGCAGUGGGGAAUUUUGGACAAUGGACGCAAGUCUGAUCCAGCCAUUCCGCGUGCAGGAUGAAGGCCCUCGGGUUGUAAACUGCUUUUGUACAGAACGAAAAGGCUCUGGUUAAUACCUAGGGCUCAUGACGGUACUGUAAGAAUGAGCACCGGCUAACUACGUGCCAGCCGCCGCAGUAA